UACGUAGGGGGCAAGCGUUGUCCGGAAUUAUUGGGCGUAAAGCGCGCGUAGGCGGUCCUUUAAGUCUGAUGUGAAAGCCCACGGCUUAACCGUGGAGGGUCAUUGGAAACUGGAGGACUUGAGUGCAGAAGAGGAGAGUGGAAUUCCACGUGUAGCGGUGAAAUGCGUAGAGAUGUGGAGGAACACCAGUGGCGAAGGCGACUCUCUGGUCUGUAACUGACGCUGAGGUGCGAAAGCGUGGGUAGCGAACAGG
rnacentral:rRNA from 1 species